rnacentral:rRNA from 1 species
AGUGAACGCUGGCGGUAGGCCUAACACAUGCAAGUCGAACGGCAGCACAGUAAGAGCUUGCUCUUACGGGUGGCGAGUGGCGGACGGGUGAGGAAUACAUCGGAAUCUACUUUUUCGUGGGGGAUAACGUAGGGAAACUUACGCUAAUACCGCAUACGACCUACGAGUGAAAGCAAGGGAUCUUCGGACCUUGCGCGAUUGAAUGAGCCGAUGUCGGAUUAGCUAGUUGGCGGGGUAAAGGCCCACCAAGGCGACGAUCCGUAGCUGGUCUGAGAGGAUGAUCAGCCACACUGGAACUGAGACACGGUCCAGACUCCUACGGGAGGCAGCAGUGGGGAAUAUUGGACAAUGGGCGCAAGCCUGAUCCAGCCAUACCGCGUGGGUGAAGAAGGCCUUCGGGUUGUAAAGCCCUUUUGUUGGGAAAGAAAAGCAGCAGGUUAAUACCCCGCUGUUCUGACGGUACCCAAAGAAUAAGCACCGGCUAACUUCGUG